rnacentral:rRNA from 1 species
UACGUAGGGGGCAAGCGUUGUCCGGAUUUAUUGGGCGUAAAGAGCGUGUAGGCGGCCAGGUAGGUCCGUUGUGAAAACUCGAGGCUCAACCUCGAGACGUCGGCGGAAACCCUCUGGCUAGAGUCCGGAAGAGGAGAGUGGAAAUUCCUGGUGUAGCGGUGAAAUGCGCAGAUAUCAGGAAGAACACCCGUGGCGAAGGCGGCUCUCUGGGACGGUACUGACGCUGAGACGCGAAAGCGUGGGGAGCAAACAGG